rnacentral:rRNA from 1 species
UACGUAGGGGGCAAGCGUUGUCCGGAAUCAUUGGGCGUAAAGAGCGUGUAGGCGGCUUGGUAAGUCCGCUGUGAAAGUCCAGGGCUCAACCCUGGAAAGCCGGUGGAAACUGUCAAGCUUGAGUCCGGAAGAGGCGAGUGGAAUUCCUGGUGUAGCGGUGAAAUGCGCAGAUAUCAGGAAGAACACCGGUGGCGAAGGCGGUGGGCUGGGCCGGCACUGACGCUGAGGAGCGAAAGCGUGGGGAGCGAACAGG